GAUGCUCACACAACUAUCAUUUGUGCAGUACCUGGUGUCCAGGUAAGCUCUAUCAAAUAACAUCUCGCUUUAAGUAUCAAAUAUCUUUGAAAGAUAUCUGAAGGUCAAAACAGACCCUAUGAUCAGCUGUCCUGCCAUUUUGUUUGAUUGGCAUUCAGUGCUAGUCCUACUCAGAGUAGACCUACUGAAGUUAAGCGACAUUACUGACAGGUUUAUUAAAUUCAGUGGGUCUACUUUAGUAGGACUUUAGUUGAAUGUAAUCAUUUGUUUUCAAGGCAAAACAGCUUCCUAUGUGCCUCCCCCGCCCCUGUAAAUAACAGUUUGUAUAGGUAAUUUAUAUCACUGCUUAGAUAUUUUUCUUAUUAAUAAGUGGUUUAUAAAUGCUUCAAAUAGAAAUAAAAUGAAUAUCAGAAGAAUGAUGCACUGAGAAAGCAUUAAACAACCCCCAUUUCCUGCUGUGUCAGGCAGUUUGGAUUGUAUUUUUGUACUUAAUGGAAAAUGGUUCUGAAUCCUGCGAUGGAUAUCACUGAUAUCGAAUUAGAAGGCACUCUUUAUAGCACAGCAGUUAAUUGGGAGUUCUUGAUUCCAUUACCUGUAUUUUACCUGGAACAUGUCAAUGAUCAAAUUGAGAUUUUUUGUGAUUCAUUAUAUUAAUACUGUAAAGGCAGAAUGACCACCCACCCAAGGGCCUGUUGAAAUUCAUUUCAUUUGCUUGGCCAGAGUGACAUCAACCACCAUAACAGAGGAUGACCAACUGAAUUCGCAGCUCUGCCUGAGGCUGAAAACCUGAAAAGACACGAUGGCACGGCAACAGCAGAGAAGAAAUAGGCGAAGAAUGAUUCGCCUUAGGAGACAACAGCGUAGCAGGAAACCGGCUGCUCGAAGACUCCCGAGGCAGAUGAGAGCAGGUUUUUAAAACAUUACUAAACUGGGGUUUUGUGAAGCAUCCAGUAAGAUUAACAUUGAGGGUUAAAAAUCUCCAGAGGUAGCACUGAGAGUGAGGAAGCAAUUAGGCCACUUUGCAUUAAACACAAUUAUUUCUCAGAAGCAUGUCACUUAUUUGUUUUAUUCAUCUGCUGUCAACACCCCCCCCCAAAAAAAAAUCACCUUAGAGACUCUUUUCUUAUAAGUUAUGCACAAAGCACUAUAUAAUAAAAAGAACAAAUUCAGCUAAGUUAGUUGAAUUUCUCUCCUUUGAAAUUAACCAGCUACUUUAGUUAUGACAGGUCAUUAGUUAUAACAGGACAUAGAUAUAUAUAUAUGAAUGAAAAGUAUCCAUUAGAAACAAUUGGAAAGGAUGCCAGUUUUCUUACAAAUUAAAUUCUAUUUGAGCAUCCAAGCUUCCCUACCGCACACUCAGAGUUUUAAAUUGUGUGGGGUGGCUCCAUGACUAGAGAGGCUUCCCACUUCUUUGAGGGCUACAAACACACACACACACACACGCAAACACACACCACAUGUCUUCUUACAUGUGAGGAGACUGAAUACCCAAAUAGGGCUUAAGUUUUGCCAAGAGCAGGCUUUUGACCACCAUGAUGAAGUUUCUCUCCCUGCACCCAUCAUGCCUCUACUGAACCCUAAAAUAUCCUCCCUGUAAAAACCGCUCACAAUGUAAUGUUCCAAAGGUAUUUUAUAUGACUUGCUAAACCUCUAAGGAUUAAUCAUCCGAGGAGGAAACGAGGUGCUCCGUUCCAGACCUGGCACCAUGUGACAGGACAGGGGAGUCCAUAUGUAAGAAUAUGAGACCCACAUAGAUCUCUUCUUCAUUAGCUGGUGAAUGGUCAUGUGAUUCAACCCACAGCCUAUCAUUUGCUGAGGUUUUCUAUUGGACAUAUUGUAAGCCAUAGCAAGUCCCACAAUUCUUGAGCUGGCACUACUUGAGGAGCAACAAUAUCAUCAUUAUGAAAUCAAAUGAACUGAUGGUGUGGUGGCACGAGUCUUUUAUGGGGAGAAAUAAAGAUAAUCUGGAGCUUUGUUCGAUCCCUUUGCCCACAUUUAUUUCUAUUUUCCCUCUUUCUGUCUACAGGCAGACACCAGUCCCAUUACCGGAGAGCCUCAGCUGCAGUCUAGCCUAGGUCACUUUCUGUAGUGAGGCAACUGCUGCAAACGGAAGGAAAAUACCGUGCCAGAAACCAGGAUGAAGCACCAGGCUGGUGGAAGCAUGCACUGCACUCAAUAAACCAUUUGAAUGGCAC
rnacentral:lncRNA from 1 species